GGCUCAGGACGAACGCUGGCGGCAUGCCUAACACAUGCAAGUCGAACGGGGGUAGCAAUACCCUAGUGGCGAACGGGUGAGUAACACAUAAGCAAUCUGCCCUUCACAGGGGGAUAACAGCGGGAAACUGCUGCUAAUACCGCAUAAGACCACGGUACCGCAUGGUACAGGGGUAAAAACGAAUCAGUGGUGAAGGAUGAGCUUGUGUCCCAUUAGCUAGUUGGUGAGAUAACAGCCCACCAAGGCGACGAUGGGUAGCCGACCUGAGAGGGUGGUCGGCCACACUGGAACUGAGACACGGUCCAGACUCCUACGGGAGGCAGCAGUGGGGAAUAUUGGGCAAUGGAAGGAAACUCUUACCCAGCAAUGCCGCGUGAGUGAAGAAGGUCUUCGGAUUGUAAAGCUCUUUGAUUGGGGACGAAGAAAGUGACGGUACCCAAAGAACAAGCCCCGGCUAACUACGUGCCAGCCGCCGC
rnacentral:rRNA from 1 species